rnacentral:rRNA from 1 species
UACGGGGGGGGCAAGCGUUGUUCGGAAUUACUGGGCGUAAAGGGCUCGUAGGUGGCCAACUAAGUCAGACGUGAAAUCCCUCAGCUUAACUGGGGAACUGCGUCUGAUACUGGAUGGCUUGAGUUUGGGAGAGGGACGCGGAAUUCCAGGCGUAGCGGUGAAAUGCGUAGAUAUCUGGAGGAACACCGGUGGCGAAGGCGGCGUCCUGGACCAACACUGACACUGAUGAGCGAAAGCCAGGGGAGCAAACGGG